rnacentral:rRNA from 1 species
GACAGAGGAUGCAAGCGUUAUCCGGAAUGAUUGGGCGUAAAGCGUCUGUAGGUGGCUUUUCAAGUCCGCCGUCAAAUCCCAGGGCUCAACCCUGGACAGGCGGUGGAAACUGUCGAGCUAGAGUCCGGAAGAGGCGAGUGGAAUUCCUGGUGUAGCGGUGAAAUGCGUAGAGAUCAGGAAGAACACCCGUGGCGAAGGCAGCACUCUGGGACGUGACUGACGCUGAGACGCGAAAGCGUGGGGAGCAAACAGG